rnacentral:rRNA from 1 species
CCCUUAGAUGUUCUGGGCCGCACGCGCGCUACACUGACUACUUCAACGAGUUGUUUCCUUGAUCGAAAGGUCUGGGUAAUCUUUGAAAGGUAGUCGUGAUGGGGAUAGAUCCUUGCAAUUUUUGAUCUUCAACGAGGAAUUCCUAGUAAACGCAAGUCAUCAGCUUGCAUUGAUUACGUCCCUGCCCUUUGUACACACCGCCCGUCGCACCUACCGAUUGGAUGGUCCGGUGAAGCCUCGGGAUUGUGGUUCUUGCCGCUUUAUUGUGGCGUGACCGCGAGAACUUGUCUAAACCUUAUCAUCUAGAGGAAGGUGAAGUCGUAACA